rnacentral:rRNA from 1 species
GAGGGGCGGCGUGGGGGUAGCAAUACUCCUGGCGGCGACCGGCGCACGGGUGCGUAACACGUAUGCAACCUACCCUGAACAGGGGGAUAACCCGGAGAAAUCCGGACUAAUACCGCGUAGGAUUGAGGUGAGGCAUCUCACUUUGAUUAGAGAUUUAUCGGUACGGGAUGGGCAUGCGGAUGAUUAGCUGGUUGGUGGGGUAACGGCCCACCAAGGCGACGAUCAUUAGGGGUUCUGAGAGGAAGGUCCCCCACAUUGGUACUGAGACACGGACCAUACUCCUACGGGAGGCAGCAGUGAGGAAUAUUGGUCAAUGGGCGGAAGCCUGAACCAGCCAAGUCGCGUGAGGGAAGACGGCCCUAUGGGUUGUAAACCUCUUUUUUGCGGGAAUAAAGUGCCUCAUGCGUGAGGUUUUGCAUGUACCGCAAGAAUAAGGAUCGGCUAACUCCGUGCCAGCAGCCGCGGUAAUACGGAGGAUCCGAGUGUUAUCCGGAUUUAUUGGGUUUAAAGGGUGCGUAGGCGGUAGGUCAAGUCAGUGGUGAAAUGGUGCGGCUCAACCGUAGCAUUGCCGUUGAAACUGGCUUACUUGAGUGCGGAUGAGGUAUACUGAAUGUGUUUUUGUAGCUGUGAAAUGCAUUGAUAUGACACAUAACACCGAUUGCGAAGGUAUUUCACCUGACCGCAACUGACGCUGAGGCACGAAAUUGUGGGUAUCGAACAGGAU